UCGCUAUAGCAGACUUUCUGACUCCAGAAAUGACCGCGAUGAACCCAAUCUCUCUAACUCCAGUGAUGACAGCGAUUCAAGCAUUGGAACACCUCCUUCAUUCAGUAAAUUGUUAGAAGAUCAUGGAUACACCAUAAAUGAAGAACUUGGACAAAGGGAUUCGGGAAAAGUGUUUCUGGUGAAUGACAAAGAUGGAAAUCCUUAUGUAAUCAAAAAGAUUAAUUCCAGAAAUAAGAAGGAAGUCAAGAUCUUGAAAAGUCUGGAGCAUGGAUAUAUUGUUACUUAUG